GCCAGAAAUCUAGCCUACCCCUUCCCCACCCCACAUGAUCACACCCCAUUAAAAUAUUUUAACAUUUAAGUAGGGACGACUAAAAAACUAAUAUUAGAGCUAUACUUAAGUACCGCAAGGGAAAGAUGAAACAGUAAUGAAACAUCACAAAGCAUAAAAAAGUAAAGAUUAACCCUUGUACCUUUUGCAUCAUGGUUUAACUAGUAUAAUCAAGCAAAAAGAUUUUCAGUUUGACCCCCCGAAACUAAAUGAGCUACUUCAGGGCAGCUUACUGAGCUAACCCGUCCCUGUUGCAAAAGGGUGGGGAGACCCUGUGGUAGAGGUGAUAGACCUAACGAAUUUAGUGAUAGCUGGUUACUCAAGAAAAGAAUCUAAGUCCAACCUAAAGCAACCCUAUAAAAUAAACUACCGCUUUGGAGCAAUUCAAAUAAGGUACAGCCUAUUUGACACAGGACACAACCUCGAACAACGGCUAACCUAAAAUUUACCUAAACUAAGUGGGCCUAAAAGCAGCCAUCUUAGAAAAGCGUCAAAGCUUAAUUUUAACUGUAUCUAAUCCCAAAAUUCACAAAGAACCCUUCAUUAGUACUGAGUAAUUCUAUACCAAUAUAGAAAUUUUUAUGUUAAAACUAGUAACAAGAAGACACUUCUCUUUCAAUGCAAACAUAUAUCAGCGGAUCUCCCGCUAAUACUUAUACGACACGACAACAACCCACUAUACUCUCGAAAAUCCUGCCUUUUCAACCGUUAACCUAACACAAGAGCAUUUCAAGAAAGAUUUUUUAAAAAAGAAGGAACUCGGCAAAUAUAGACUCCGCCUGUUUACCAAAAACAUCGCCUCUUGCACAAAUAUAAGAGGUCCGACCUGCCCAGUGACAUUAAUUCAACGGCCGCGGUAUUCUGACCGUGCUAAGGUAGCACAAUCACUUGUCUCUUAAAUGGGGACUAGUAUGAAAGGCCCCACGAGGGUCUAACUGUCUCCUUUUUUUAAUCUGUGAAACUAAUCUCCCCGUGAAGAAGCGGGGAUUAUUAUAUAAGACGAGAAGACCCUAUGGAGCUUUAGAUAAAACAAUAUAUUUCCCCCCCAUUCCCUGCUAUUUCAGAAAAUCAACUACCAAGGAAUUUUAUUGCUAGUCUUUGGUUGGGGCGGCCGCGGAGAAAAACUUAUCCUCCACGAUGAGUGGGAACUUCCCAUAAUAAAGAGCCACAGCUCAGUGUAUCAAAAAAUUGACAAUUGACCCAAUAUUUGAUCAACGAAACAAGUUACCCUAGGGAUAACAGCGCAAUCUACUUCAAGAGUACUUAUUGACGAGUGGGUUUACGACCUCGAUGUUGGAUCAGGGUGCCCCAGUGGUGCAGCCGCUACUAAAGGUUUGUGUGUUCAACAAUUAAUACCCUACGUGAUCUGAGU
rnacentral:rRNA from 1 species